rnacentral:lncRNA from 1 species
AAAAAAGUUUUAAAAAAGUUUUAAAAGAGUUUUAAAAAGCAAAAAAAGUUUAAAAAGUUAGAUUUUUAAAAAAGUUUAAAAAGUUAAAAUAAUUUAAAAAGUUAAAAAAGUUAGGGUUAGGGGUUAGUGGUUAGGGGUUAGUGGUUAGGGGUUAGGGGUUAGUGGUUAGGGGUUAGUGUUUAGGGGUUAGUAGUUAGUGGUUAGGGUUGGGGUUAGUAUUAG